UGUUUCUUCAGCAGCAAACAUACAAAGUUUGAAUGAUUCACAGAAGAUAAGCAAGGCCCCUGUGCAAGGAGGACACACAAGUUACUUAAGCGUUCCUUAAUUUU